AUCCAGCCAUGCCGCGUGCAGGAUGACGGCCCUAUGGGUUGUAAACUGCUUUUAUACGGGAAGAAACGCACCUACGCGUAGGUGUCUGACGGUACCGUAAGAAUAAGGACCGGCUAACUCCGUGCCAGCAGCCGCGGUAAUACGGAGGGUCCGAGCGUUAUCCGGAAUCAUUGGGUUUAAAGGGUCCGUAGGCGGGCCUGUAAGUCAGGGGUGAAAGUUUGUGGCUCAACCAUAAAAUUGCCUUUGAUACUGCAGGUCUUGAGUCAUGGUGGGGUCGCCGGAACAUGUGGUGUAGCGGUGAAAUGCAUAGAUAUCACAUAGAACACCGAUCGCGAAGGCAGGUGGCCAACCAUGUACUGACGCUGAUGGACGAAAGCGUGGGUAGCGAACGGGAUUAGAUACCCCGGUAGUCCACGCCGUAAACGAUGGAUACUAGCUGUGGGGACUUCGGUCUCCGUGGCCAAGCGAAAGUGAUAAGUAUCCCACCUGGGGAGUACGUUCGCAAGAAUGAAACUCAAAGGAAUUGACGGGGGCCCGCACAAGCGGUGGAGCAUGUGGUUUAAUUCGAUGAUACGCGAGGAACCUUACCAGGGCUUAAAUGCAGGCUGCAUGGGGUGGAGACACCCCUUUCUUCGGACUGCCUGCAAGGUGCUGCAUGGNUGUCGUCAGCUCGUGCCGUGAGGUGUCAGGUUAAGUCCUAUAACGAGCGCAACCCCUACCGUUAGUUGCC
rnacentral:rRNA from 1 species